CGGGGGGGCAAGCGUUGUUCGGAAUUACUGGGCGUAAAGGGCCCGUAGGCGGCCAACUAAGUCGGACGUGAAAUCCCCAGGCUCAACCUGGGAACUGCGUCCGAUACUGGAUGGCUUGAAUCCGGGAGAGGGAUGCAGAAUUCCAGGUGUAGCGGUGAAAUGCGUAGAUAUCUGGAGGAAUACCGGUGGCGAAGGCGGCAUCCUGGACCGGCAUUGACGCUGAGGAGCGAAAGCCAGGGGAGCAAACGGGAUUAGAUACCCCGGUAGUCCUGGCCCUAAACGAUGAAUGCUUGGUGUAACGGGUAUCGAUCCCUGUUGUGCCGAAGCUAACGCAUUAAGCAUUCCGCCUGGGGAGUACGGUCGCAAGGCUG
rnacentral:rRNA from 1 species